rnacentral:rRNA from 1 species
AGUGAACGCUGGCGGCGUGCCUAAUACAUGCAAGUCGAACGGAGGGGUGCACGGGUGAGUAAUGUAUAGCUAAUCUGCCCUCCACUAGAGGACAACAGAUGGAAACGACUGCUAAUACUCUAUAGUGUAGGAUGAGGCUAUAUUGUAUCAGCUAGUUGGUGAGGUAAUGGCUCACUAAGGCUAUGACGAAUAACUGGUCUGAGAGGAUGAUCAGUCAACGUGGAAGUGAGGCACGGGCCAGACUCCUACGGGAGGCAGCAGAAGGGGAUAAUGCUCAAUGGGGGGAAGCCUGAAGGAGCAACGCGGCGUGGAGGAUGUAACUUUUCGUAGCGUAAGAUCAUUUUGUUAGGAAAGCGGUACCUGACGAAUAAGCACCGGCUAACUCCGUGCCAGCAGCCGCGGUAAUUC